UUGGAGGUAGUCUACUUUAUUUAGCCUAAAAUAAGCACUGUACUGUCGACAAGAGCGAAUUAAAAUGUUAAAGUUAGUACAUAUGUGUUACUUUGAUAUUUCACAGUAAUGUAAACUAAUAUUAAUUUUAAUGGUUUCAGGAGUGACAAAAUUACCCCUACAACAGAAGAGAAGAGCCAAGAUGAAGGGAGCUAUUCACAGAGCUGGAGGAAACGCAGAUUUUGGAUCGUCCUCCACUCACUCUACCACUUUGUUUUUCCUUGUCAGACUUCAUUUAAGGAUAAGAAAGAAGCCUGCUACAAGAGAGACAGCGGAAGGGAGCCUCAAAGACAUUUUUAUUUGGAUCUGCUAAUCCUGAGGGGGCAGACGAAAGAACCUGCAUUUUCCUUCAGCUUAAUAUCAGAGGUCACCACAACGUAAGGAACUGGAUAUUACUUUGGCAUAUGUUUUACACAGCGGAUGGCCUUCCAGCUGCAACCCAGCACUGUGAAACACCCGUACACUCUCGUAUUCACAGACACUUCUACACUAUGUUCAAGUUCACCUAUAGCACAAGUGUUUGGACUGUGGUGGAAACCCACACCAAAACAGGGAGAACAUGUAAACUCCACACAGAAAUGCCAGCGGACCCAGUCGGGACUCAUACCAGCAACCUUUUUGCUGUGAGGUGACAGUCUGCCACUGUGCUGCCCCAGUGUAGUUGUUAAUAACCUCCAGAUGUUUUAGUUAGGGACCGAGCACCGAAA